CCAAAACCCUAAUUAGCACCUCCAAAUCCUUUUCUCUUUCAAAGCAUCCAUUGAAAGAUUCUAUUUUACCAUAGAGAAGAACAUGUAUCCUUGCUUGAAUUCAUUUCAAAGAAGGAUUUUUUUCUUAAAAUAGUUUGUUGUAGGCUAUAGUUCUCUUUUUGCAACCUAAAUCAUAGAUCUGGGCCAAACAUGCGAGAAUGGAAUACAAAGGAGAACUCAAAAUAAAAAAAACAUGCUGACAAUGAUCCAGAUACCGUUCAUUGAAUUCAUGAUAGUGGUUGGGUUCUGGAAAGGUGAUUGGAGGAAUUAUACAUGGCAAUUGGAUCCAAAGUACGUUGGUGGGUUCUUCCCAUUCAGAAUCCUGGGUGUUUUCAAUGGAAUCUGAGGUAUAUUGGAUAGGAUGCCGUGUCAACUAUGGCAAUGAAUUGGUGUGUAGGUUCAGUUGUGCUUGUGACGAUAUUCUACUGUCUUAUGGCAGCUUCCAUGGUAAAGCUUGCUCCCUAUGAUGUGGAACUCAUGGUGGAGAACUAAAUUUUGUUACUCAAAGUAAGAAAUCAGGCCAGGGAAAACCAUCAAUGUUGGAACAAUAUCGUGAAGGUCUUGAUGCAAGGCAUGAAAGAUGUGCAGAUUGAAGUUUUCAGAAGGAAGUGGCAAGAUGAUCAAGGAAGAGUACUAUAGUUGGGAGGACCCUCCUUGGAAGCAUGUUAAGGGGAAGAGGAGCAACGUUGGGUCUCCUUCAUUGGCUUGAUGAGUGAUAGAAGACACAACAUGAUGAGCAUCAAGGAGGAACCCAUUUAUACAACUUCCUGUUCGAACAAAGAACCACCUUCGAGGUAGACUCAGAGAGUCUUGGACGGCUCAAUAGUAGCUUUGAUCUCCACACAGAGUCUGGCAAAAGAUAACUUCUCUUUGGAGAGGGUGACUUGGUCAGUGUAACGAGGAAGUACUCCUACAACGCUUUUAAUUAAGCUUAACAUUGAGGGGACCGGAGGUGGAAUGGGAGGGCCAGCAGCCUCAACCAGACCGGCACAGUUGAAAUCUCCACCUUCUUUAGUGGGGGUAUUUAAUUUGAAUCCUAUGGCAAAACAAUGAGCGGUCUCCCCUAAACUCCGAUACAGUUGAAAUCUCCACAGUCCCUCCUCGAGCACAUGUAGUUUAUCUUCCUCACAGACGAACUAGAAGAUAAGAAAACCAAUAUCUACCUGUUUGAUGUUUAUAUACCCAAUUAAUCUCCAAACUUUGGGGACAGUAGAUUUGAUAAACUCAUAAGCUGGCCUGCUUCCCAUUGACUAUAUAGAUGCUAGCAUUUAAGGUGACAUAGCCAUAUAGAUGUUGCACCACGAGGCGUUGUCGGUGAGUCUGGUUGUUUGGGAAUGCAGCCCCACUCGGGCAGUAAAUUCCGUCCAAGGCUAAAUAUGGGCGAGAGACAGAUAGCGAACAAGUACUGCUAGGGAAAGAUGUAAAGGACUUUGAAAAGAGAGUCAAAGAGUGUUGAAAUAGUCAGGAGGAAAGCGGAUGGGCUACCAGGCUUCCUUAUAUCAAAACCUUAUUACAUUGUAGUAGGUCUGUAGUGGAUUGCCUUGGUGGUUGACGUAAUGCAUAUGAGUUGCAAUUGGUGCGCUUGUGGUGGUGGGCUUUGUACUGGUGCAUUGAACUGCCAUUCGUAGAUACCUUUGGCUUGAGUUGUGGGUUGCGUAUCUAGCUUUUAAUGCGGAGUUGUAUGUGAUUACAUAGUUUUCAAUGCGGAGAUGUGUGUUCGAGAUGUUACUUUCGUGCUUAGUGGGGCUAUCAAAAUUUUGUUAUCUCAUUCCUCCUUUCAUGAAAGCAGGUUGGGUGAUGACUUAUCUUGGUAGUGGACGUAAUGCAUAUAAAACAUAUUGGCUUGAUUGAUC